CCCAAAACAACCAGGAGGUUGGCUUAGAAGCAGCCAUCCUUUAAAGAAAGCGUAACAGCUCACUGGUCUAGUCAAGGGUCCUUGCGCCGACAAUGUAACGGGGCUCAAGCCACGAGCCGAAGCUUGGGGUUCAUCUUCGGAUGAGCGGUAGCGGAGCGUUCCGUAGGCCUGUGAAGGGAGACCCGUGAGGGCUCCUGGAGGUAUCGGAAGUGCGAAUGCUGACAUGAGUAACGACAAACAGCGUGAGAUUCGCUGUCGCCGAAAGUCCAAGGGUUCCUGCGUAAAGUCAAUCUGCGCAGGGUCAGCCGGCCCCUAAGGCGAGGCCGAAAGGCGUAGUCGAUGGGAAUGCGGUGAAUAGUCCGCAGCCAGCGGGUGGUGACGGAUCUGAACCGUCGUGUCUCCUUAUCGGAUUGGAGGCGCGGCCGGAUGGUUCCAGGAAACAGCCCCCGCGAGAGACCGUACCCGAAACCGACACAGGUGGACUGGCAGAGCAUGCCUAGGCGCUUGAGAGAACGAUGCUGAAGGAACUCGGCAAAUUACCUCCGUAACUUCGGGAUAAGGAGGCCUUUCGAUCGGGCAACCGGUCGGGAGGGGCACAGACCAGGGGGUGGCGACUGUUUAGCAAAAACACAGGGCUCUGCGAAGUCUUCAAGACGACGUAUAGGGUCUGACGCCUGCCCGGUGCCGGAAGGUUAAGAGGAGAGGUUCACGCCUUGAAUCGAAGCCCCGGUAAACGGCGGCCGUAACUAUAACGGUCCUAAGGUAGCGAAAUUCCUUGUCGGGUAAGUUCCGACCUGCACGAAUGGCGUAACGACUUCCCCGCUGUCUCCAGCAUCGGCUCAGUGAAAUUGAAUUCCCCGUGAAGAUGCGGGGUUCCUGCGGUCAGACGGAAAGACCCCGUGCACCUUUACUGUAGCUUUGCGCUGGCAUUCGUGUCGGCAUGUGUAGGAUAGGUGGAAGGCUUUGAAGCGCGGGCGCCAGCUCGUGUGGAGCCACCCUUGAAAUACCACCCUUGGCGACAUGGAUGUCUAACCGCGGUCCGUCAUCCGGGCCCGGGACAGCGCAUGGCGGGCAGUUUGACUGGGGCGGUCGCCUCCCAAAGAGUAACGGAGGCGCGCGAAGGUGGGCUCAGACCGGUCGGAAAUCGGUCGUCGAGUGCAAUGGCAUAAGCCCGCCUGACUGCGAGACGGACAUGUCGAGCAGAGACGAAAGUCGGCCAUAGUGAUCCGGUGGUCCCGCGUGGGUGGGCCAUCGCUCAAC
rnacentral:rRNA from 1 species